AGCUAAUUGACGAAAGUGCUCAUUUCUUUAUGACAAAAUACCCCAAUCUUGGAUCUGCUGAAAACUAUAAAUUAAUUGGAAAAAGAUUGUUUGCUGCUAACCCUUCCAUAAAGCAUGAGGGAAAUGACCCAUGGUCAUACUUCAAUAGGUGCCUCAGUCAAAAAAUCCGCCAUUUGCGUUGGUCUGGCAAAAGAAAGAGUGACAGAAGUACCACUCCAGUGGAAAAAAGAAGAAACGCUUUGAAUUCAUAUCGCAGAGUCAAGAGUCAAGUCAAUCAAAUGACGAUUUUGUAAACCAUGUUAACACUCUUCAGAAAGAGUUUGAGAAAGAACGGCAGAAUUCUUCGCAUGUAAAUCUACUGUUGAAAGAAAGCUUGGCAGGAAGAAGAAGUUGGAUUUCAACCAUAAAAAAUGGAGAAAUGCAGCCUAUUGUAAAAAAGUUCCUAUGUUUUAAAGUGGGCGAGUAUGUGCUUACUGAGUUUUGUAUGCUUACAAAAUUGCCAAUGAAGGUUUUGAAAGAUAGAGCUGGAAAGGUUUUAAAGACUAUUUUGAAAAUGGAGCCAUGUCAAGAGGUACUGAAUUUAAAAAAAAUUAUUAAAUUAUAUUUGGCAGCUUGAACUGGACCCACAUAACAAUGUACAAUCUUUUCAAAAAAGUGCUGGUGAUGUUUUUUAUUCGUAGAAUUAUAAAUUUAAUGUACCAUAACUAAUA